CAUCCUGUAUGGUAGGGGUUAGAGUUAACACUAGGUACACACCCUGUAUGGUAGGGGUUAUAGUUAACACUAGGUACACAUCCUGUAUGGUAGGGGUUAGAGUUAACACUAGGUACACACCCUGUAUGGUAGGGGUUAGAGUUAACACUAGGUACACAUCCUGUAUGGUAGGGGUUAGGGUUAACACUAGGUACACACCCUGUAUGGUAGGGGUUAGGGUUAACACUAGGUACACAUCCUGUAUGGUAGGGGUUAGAGUUAACACUGGGUACACACCCUGUAUGGUAGGGGUUAGGGUUAUAGUUAACACUAGGUACACACCCUGUAUGGUAGGGGUUAGGGUUAACACUAGGUACACAUCCUGUAUGGUAGGGGUUAGAGUUAACACUGGGUACACACCCUGUAUGGUAGGGGUUAGGGUUAUAGUUAACACUAGGUACACACCCUGUAUGGUAGGGGUUAUAGUUAACACUAGGUACACAUCCUGUAUGGUAGGGGUUAGGGUUAACACUAGGUACACACCCUGUAUGGUAGGGGUUAGAGUUAACACUAGGUACACACCCUGUAUGGUAGGGGUUAGAGUUAACACUAG
rnacentral:lncRNA from 1 species